AGAGUUUGAUCAUGGCUCAGGAUAAACGCUGGCGGCGCACAUAAGACAUGCAAGUCGAACGAACUUAACCAGAAAUUUAUUUUUGGAGCGGUAGUGGCGGACUGGUGAGUAACGCGUAAGCAAUCUACCUAUUAGAGGGGAAUAACAGUGAGAAAUCAUUGCUAAUACCGCAUAUGCCAUGAACAUCGCAUGAUGAAAAUGGGAAAGGAGGAAUCCGCUAAUAGAUGAGCUUGCGUCUGAUUAACUAGUUGGUGUGGUAAUGGCAUACCAAGGUAACGAUCAGUAGCCGGACUGAGAGGUUGAACGGCCACAUUGGGACUGAGAUACGGCCCAGACUCCUACGGGAGGCAGCAGUCGGGAAUAUUGCGCAAUGGAGGAAACUCUGACGCAGUGACGCCGCGUAUAGGAAGAAGGUUUUCGGAUUGUAAACUAUUGUCGUUAGGGAAGAUAAAAGACAGUACCUAAGGAGGAAGCUCCGGCUAACUACGUGCCAGCAGCCGCGGUAAUACGUAGGGAGCAAGCGUUAUCCGGAUUUAUUGGGUGUAAAGGGUGCGUAGACGGGAAAUUAAGUUAGUUGUGAAAUCCCUCGGCUCAACUGAGGAACUGCAACUAAAACUGGUUUUCUUGAGUGCAGGAGAGGUAAGUGGAAUUCCUAGUGUAGCGGUGAAAUGCGUAGAUAUUAGGAGGAAUACCAGUGGCGAAGGCGACUUACUGGACUGUAAUUGACGUUGAGGCACGAAAGUGUGGGGAGCAAACAGGAUUAGAUACCCUGGUAGUCCACACCGUAAACGAUGGAUACU
rnacentral:rRNA from 1 species